CAACCGAGCGUCAAAUCGAACGAGCAUUUUCCGAGCAAUUUCCGAACGAGCGUCGAGCGAACGACGAGCGUCGAGCAAUUUGAACGGCCCUACAUGUGAUUAAUUGGGAGUUCAAGUUAUCCAGGUCUGAUAUAACCUUUUUUAAUUUGGCUUUCUAAUGGUUAAUUUUUUCUGGUCCUUCCAUUUAGAUAUACAUUAUUGUACAAAAUUGGCUUGUAAUUUUAACAAAAGACUCAAUGAUUUUUUUCGGGAUCCAAUAUAUUGGGUGGGUAUCCAUAGCAGAUAGAUCUUUCAUGAAGAAACAAGAAUCACACAUCAAUGUAAUGGAUGAAUUCCGGCGAUGAGGAUGAUGAUGGUGGUUGUAUCAGUGGAGCGUUGGUAGUGCCUGCUAAUAGCGGUGAUGGUAACAGGUUUGAGAUGAGUGGUGGUGACAGUAAAGGAUUUGAUACCCUCCGGCGUGUUUUUCGACUAUCAUCGAGGUUGUUGAUGGUGAAUUUCGGUUAUAAAGGUGAGGGGUUGUCGUGAUAAUGUUCGGUGUAGUUAACGGUGGCUGGUUGUAGAUGACGGUGCCGAGUGGAAGGGCCGUCGCUCAACGGAUAAAAGUUAUUCUCGAGAUAACAGGCUGAUCUUCCCCAAGAGUAGUGCCUGGUUGUGGUUGUGUCUGGUUGCAUCAAUGGUGGCUGACUACUAGAAGAGGAGAUGAUCUAAGUCACCAAGGAAAGAAGGCGUGACGACACUAACUUUCGUGCGAAGAUUAACAUGAAGGGACCUUUUGAUGUUUAGUAUCAAAGUAUGUAAACAUUAAACCCACAAACCAUACAUGUGACGCGGGAAAUCUAAAAACAACGUUUUAGUGGUUUAUAAUCUUAUAUGCUAACCACAAUGUAAAUCGCACAACGCGCGACUGGAAAUGACCCUAGUUUUCUAUAAAGUCAAAUACAGUGUUAAGACUUAUAGUAUACAACACAUUA